CGUGCGUAUUUUGGAUACCCGUAUAACCAUCCAAGACUGUUGAAGUGACUAAUUCCAAGAAAUUAAGCGGCGUUGAGGACAAAGAAAUUGUUGGAGUUACCCUUUCUUAUCCAGUACCAACAUACUUGAUGUUAAGAACAGAUCUUUUACAGGAAGGUUGGCUAGAGAUUUCUUGUAAAAACACUAGCCCCGCUCAGUUGAUAAUGAGAAUACUGCAAUCUUUUUUGAUUCUAUGUAUUUUUUUUAUCAUUAUACACAUAAAGGAGGAGCCGUAUGAGAUGAAAAUCUUACGUACGGUUCUGGAACGGAGAUUCUUUGAACUGAAUGACGACCGUAAC